rnacentral:lncRNA from 8 species
AUGUCUUGUCCCUCUGGUGCUGUGUGGGAGUCACAAUGGAACUGUUUGAAGAUGCUGGCAGUUGAAUCACUCUUUUCUUCUCUGUCUCUCCUCUCUCUCCACCUUUCACUCUUGCACCCCUCUGUCUCUCCCUCUCUCUUGCUUUCCUUUCCUCUGUCUCUCCCUCCCUCUUGCUCUCCUCCCUCUGUCUCUCUCUCUCUCUUGCUUUCCUUUCCUCUGUCUCUCCCUCUCUCUGGCUUUCCUUUCCUCUGUCUCUCCUCCCUCUCUCUCUCUUGCUCUCCUUUCCUCUGUCUCUCCCUCCCUCUUGCUCUCCUCCCUCUGUCUCUCUCUCUCUCUUGCUUUCCUUCCCUCUGUCUCUCCCUCUCUCUCUUGGUCUCCUCCUGCUCUCCUCCCUCUGUUUCUCCCUCUCUCUCUUGCUCUCCUCCCUCUCUCUCUCUUGCUCUCUCUCUCUCUCUUGCUUUCCUUUCCUCUGUCUCUCCUCCCUCUCUCUCUCUUGCUCUCCUUUCCUCUGUCUCUCCCUCCCUCUUGCUCUCCUCCCUCUGUCUCUCUCUCUCUCUUGCUUUCCUUCCCUCUGUCUCUCCCUCUCUCUCUUGGUCUCCUCCUGCUCUCCUCCCUCUGUUUCUCCCUCUCUCUCUUGCUCUCCUCCCUCUCUCUCUCUUGCUCUCUCUCUCUCUCUUGCUUUCCUUUCCUCUGUCUCUCCCUCUCUCUCUUGCUCUCCUCCCUCUCUCUCUCUUGCUUUCCUUUCCUCUGUCUCUCCCUCCCUCUUGCUCUCCUCCCUUUGUCUCUCUCUCUCUCUCUCUCUCUCUCUCUCUCUUGCUUUCUUUCCCUCUGUCUCUCCCUCUCUCUCUUGGUCUCCUUAUGUCUCUCCCUCUCUCUCUUGGUCUCCUGCUCUCUCUCUCUUGCUUUCCUUUCCUCUGUUUCUCCCUCUCUCUCUUGCUCUCCUCCCUCUCUCUCUUGCUUUCCUUUCCUCUGUCUCUCCUUCCCUCUUGCUCUCCUCCUGCUCUCCUCCCUCUCUAUCUCUUGCUCUCCUCCCUCUGUCUCACUCUCUCUUGCUCUCCUCCCUCUGUCUCUCCCUGUCUCUGUCUCUCCUCCCUAUGUCUCUCCCUCUCUCUCUUGGUCUCCUUAUGUCUCUCCCUCUCUCUCUUGGUCUCCUGCUCUCUCUCUCUUGCUUUCCUUUCCUCUGUUUCUCCCUCUCUCUCUUGCUCUCCUCCCUCUCUCUCUUGCUUUCCUUUCCUCUGUCUCUCCUUCCCUCUUGCUCUCCUCCUGCUCUCCUCCCUCUCUAUCUCUUGCUCUCCUCCCUCUGUCUCACUCUCUCUUGCUCUCCUCCCACUGUCUCUCCCUGUCUCUGUCUCUCCUCCCUAUGUCUCUCCCUCUCUCUCUUGGUCUCCUUAUGUCUCUCCCUCUCUCUCUUGGUCUCCUGCUCUCUCUCUCUUGCUUUCCUUUCCUCUGUUUCUCCCUCUCUCUCUUGCUCUCCUCCCUCUCUCUCUUGCUUUCCUUUCCUCUGUCUCUCCUCCCUCUGUCUCUCCCUGUCUCUGUCUCUCCUCCCUCUGUUUCUCCCUGUCUCUGUCUCUCCUCCCUAUGUCUCUCUCUCUCUCUCCUCCCUCUGUUUCUCCCUGUCUCUGUCUCUCCUCCCUAUGUCUCUCUCUCUCUCUCCUCCCUCUGUCUCUCCUCCCUCUGUCUCUCUCUCUCUCUCCUCCCUAUGUCUCUCCCUCUCUCUCUGUCUCUCCUCCCUCUGUCUCUCCCUCUCUCUCUGUCUCUCUCUCCUCCCUAUGUCUCUCCCUGUCUCUGUCUCUCCUCCCUCUGUCUCUCCCUGUCUCUGUCUCUCCUCCCUAUGUCUCUCCCUGUCUCUGUCUCUCCUCCCUCUGUCUCUCCCUGUCUCUGUCUCUCCUCCCUCUGUCUCUCUCUCUCUCUCCUCCCUCUGUCUCUCCUCCCUCUGUCUCUCCUCCCUCUGUCUCUCCUCCCUCUGUCUCUCUCUCUCCUCCCUAUGUCUCUCCCUCUCUCUCUGUCUCUCCUCCCUCUGUCUCUCCCUCUCUCUCUGUCUCUCUCUCCUCCCUCUGUCUCUCCCUGUCUCUGUCUCUCCUCCCUCUGUCUCUCUCUCUCUCUCCUCCCUCUGUCUCUCCUCCCUCUGUCUCUCUCUCUCUCUCCUCCCUAUGUCUCUCCCUCUCUCUCUGUCUCUCCUCCCUCUGUCUCUCCCUCUCUCUCUGUCUCUCUCUCCUCCCUCUGUCUCUCCCUGUCUCUGUCUCUCCUCCCUCUGUCUCUCUCUCUCUCUCCUCCCUCUGUCUCUCCUCCCUCUGUCUCUCUCUCUCUCUCCUCCCUCUGUCUCUCCUCCCUCUGUCUCUCUCUCUCUCUCCUCCCUAUGUCUCUCCCUCUCUCUCUGUCUCUCCUCCCUCUGUCUCUCCCUCUCUCUGUCUCUCCUCCCUCUGUCUCUCCUCCCUCUACUCUCUCUCUCUCUCUCUCUCUCUCUCUCUCUCUCUCUCUCUCUCUCUCUCUCUAACUCUCUUUCUCUCUCUAGUGAUAUGA